ACAGUUUGCAACAGUACAGAAUACAGUUUGCAACAGUGCAGAUUAUAGUUUUCAACAGUACAGAUUUGACAAUGAAGUUCGCUUUCUCCACUUUGAUCGCUCUGGCCGUUGCACUGGCCACCAUCUUCAUGUCACCAUCGGCGAGCGCUCAUCCGGAACCAAUAUUCGGAUACGGUCACCACAAAGGCCACGACCACAAGGGACAUCAUUACCACGACCACAAGGGCUACCUUCAUCACAAGCACGACCAUCACCACCAUCACUAUCAUCACCAUAAAUACGAAAAGCAUGGCUACCAUUGAUUGAAACAAAACGCCCUUUUUACUUCGUAAUUCCAAAGACUGAAUUUCCACACAAAGCGGAAGAUAUCUUCGUUUCCUGUUUCUCUUUUAGAUCUGUUAACUUACAAAGUGAAAAUAGAAACCAGUUUGUAUGUACAGUAUUAAAUGCAUGUUUUUUUCCUAAUAAAAUAGAU